UUUAAUUUUAUAGGCAUUAGCUCUUUCACCAAGGACUCCUUUUUUAAAAAGACUGUCCAACUACUGACAAACACCUUUUGUUCUGUAGUGAGGCAGAAGUAGUACCCUUUAGUUUUCUUUGAAUACCCUAUGAACAAGCAUCUGUCGAACUUCAGUCUAAGCUUAUCUAUCUUUAAAUGCUUGACAUAAGCUAGACACCCCCAGAUCCUA
rnacentral:lncRNA from 1 species